GCCUCGGUAGUCUAAAGGCUUAGGACGCUCGCACGGAAUGCAAGAGAUCCGGGUUCGACUUCCGGCCGAGGUA
rnacentral:tRNA from 1 species